AAAUUCCCACCAUUGUUUGCAAAAUAGGUCCGAAAAAGCCCGAGAAGUUGCGAUUUGUAUUGCCCCUGCAACACCAUUAGGAAUGUUCCAUUUGCAAAAGGGGAUGUUGAUAUCAAUCUCGUUUUCAUUAUUAUUAUUGUGACGUCAUAAUAGAUAUAACGUCACAAUCUACUUGCAGUAGUUUGUUAUUAGAUACUAAGGAAAGAUUUUCUCCAAGAAUAUCGGCCAUUUUUCUGCUAAAAGUUUCUCAUAGAUUUAAUCUCUGAAAUAUUAGCAUCGACUUGAAUAUAAUCUUUCAAUACAGACCACAAAUCCAAUAAUCAUUCAGAAAAUGUUUCCAGGAUUUUCUUGGAUGCUUAUGGGCGUGAUGGAGUUACAGAAAUGGUGGGCAAAGAAAAAUAUUAAAAGACAUGAAAAAGGUCACAUCAUAAACCCGGAUGAUUUGGGAACUGAUGUCGACACCGGACUGAAAGAAGCAGAUUUUGAAAGACUUGUUUCAGAUGAAAUUGACAAUUUGAUUGCCUUAAUCCAAUCGUCCAUGUAGAUGUUUUU